UUUCUGUAGUCCCCUCGCGGACGUAUUUCUUACAGCUCUGAGCAAAAAUUCAAAAUGAAUCAAAACUUUCAACAACGGAUCUCUUGGUUCUGGCAUCGAUGAAGAACGCAGCGAAAUGCGA
rnacentral:rRNA from 1 species